rnacentral:hammerhead_ribozyme from 1 species
GCACUGCUGAGGAGUCGCUCCCACAAUAGGACGAAACGGCCGUCCAGUGC